CGUACUGAAGAGUACGUUUGUACGUCCUGGACUCAAGGACAACGCUGGCGGCGUGCUUAACACAUGCAAGUCGAACGAUGAAGCCUAGCUUGCUAGGUGGAUUAGUGGCGAACGGGUGAGUAAUACGUGAGUGACCUACCUUUGACUCUGGGAUAAGCCUGGGAAACUGGGUCUAAUACCGGAUACGACCAAUCUCCGCAUGGGGUGUUGGUGGAAAGCGUUAUGGAGUGGUUUUAGAUGGGCUCACGGCCUAUCAGCUUGUUGGUGAGGUAAUGGCUUACCAAGGCGACGACGGGUAGCCGGCCUGAGAGGGUGACCGGCCACACUGGGACUGAGACACGGCCCAGACUCCUACGGGAGGCAGCAGUGGGGAAUAUUGCACAAUGGGCGCAAGCCUGAUGCAGCGACGCCGCGUGAGGGAUGACGGCCUUCGGGUUGUAAACCUCUGUUAGCAUCGAAGAAGCGAAAGUGACGGUAGGUGCAGAGAAAGCGCCGGCUAACUACGCG
rnacentral:rRNA from 1 species